rnacentral:miRNA from 2 species
CUGACAGAAGAGAGUGAGCA